GCUCUGACAGGGCAUAUACUAAAAUUGGAACAAUACAGAUAAAAUUGGUAUGACUCCCACAUAAAGAUGACACAUAAAUUUGGGAAUCAUUCUGCAUACCU
ensembl:snRNA U6 U6 spliceosomal RNA